CCCCUCUCAGGGUCGCACCUGGAGAGUUUCUAGUACUUUACCAGUCUCGGCUAUGGGAAGGAGUGUCAAGCAGAGGCCUAUCCAUUCCAUUCGUGGCUUGGGCUGUGGCUAGCAAGUGGAAGGCAAUCUGCUACAAAG